rnacentral:rRNA from 1 species
UUCUACCUACGGGAGGCAGCAGUGAGGAAUAUUGGUCAAUGGGCGGGAGCCUGAACCAGCCACGUCGCGUGAAGGAAGAAGGUACUUAGUAUUGUAAACUUCUUUUGUCGGGGAACAAAGGCGGAGACGCGUCUCCGGAUGAGUGUACCCGAAGAAAAAGCAUCGGCUAACUCCGUGCCAGCAGCCGCGGUAAUACGGAGGAUGCGAGCGUUAUCCGGAUUUAUUGGGUUUAAAGGGUGCGCAGGCGGGAGAUCAAGUCAGCGGUAAAAUGUCGGGGGUCAACCCCGGCCGGCCGUUA